AGCGCCUAGCGAGCAGACAGCGUGCUGCGCAGAUGUACGCACACAAGCUCCUGGCAAGUGGAGAGUGCGCGCAUCGGCGUUGACGCAAGGUGGCGUGACAAGACUCGUAGUGCAAGCAGCAGCCACAGCCAACACCCCCGAGAUUGCUUUUCAGGCCUACGAGCGAGGGGCAUUUCACGUCACUUUCCGCCGGCCAACAGUUAGCAGUGCAAGAGCUCAGCAGCAAGGCAGCAUUUCAACGUUGGUUGGAAAUUAUGCGGCAGGGAAAACAAGGUGCAGGCAUCUUGAACAUCUGAAACACGAGGGCGUGCGGAGCAAAUGGACUGGUGUCGUCAUUCCUCUGACCAAAUUUGUGCCCACGACGUGUACGAAGCGCCUUACGCACCAAGUUUGUAAAUGGAGGCGUCGCAAUAAAAACACAACGGCGAUGGCAGGGCUCACCCGCACUAGCGCGAUGACGAGACACAGCAGAAGAAACUGAUGCAAACGGAGCGAUGAUUUGCAAGCACAGGUGCGCGCAUACCUGGUCGGCGGCUCUGAAGCUCCUCCAGAAGGUGGCGAUGACGCCGCAGCACUCUUCCAGCUGGAAGCUGGCCGGAUCCUCGCAGAAGAAGGCGGCGAGGUCGUUUCGCGCCUGCUCCA